ACUUCUUUUCCAAGUAAUGUGGUUGAGGUCGUGCCAGAGCCUGAGCCUGCUGCAGAAGAACCUGUUGGAGAGCCUUCAAAGCUUAGUUAUGCUUCUAUUUUAAGAGCUCCAAAAGGACCUGCACCAUCAGUUCGCAUCCAGCCAUCUUAUACCAAGAGCGCACCACCUGUCUCGGAGUGGCAAGCUCCUGUUGAGCAGCCAAUCUCCAUGCCCCCAGCUGCGCCAGAAGCCAGCCUUGACCUAGCAGAUGAAGGAUUUUCUCAAGAAGGGGAAUCAAAGUCUGUCUACGUGAGGAAUUUGCCAUCUACUGUAUCUUCGCUCGAUAUUUUGCAAGAGUUUAAGAACUUCGGGAAGAUCAAGCAAGAUGGAGUAUUCUUAAGAAACCGCAAGGAUGUUGGCAUUUGCUAUGCCUUUGUUGAGUUUGAAGAAGUCCAAGGUGUCCAAAAUGCGAUCAAGGCAUCACCAAUACACUUAGCUGGAAGGCAAGUCUACAUUGA
rnacentral:misc_RNA from 1 species